rnacentral:tRNA from 1 species
UUUGGGAUGUAUUUCAGUGGUAGAGUGUUUGCCUGUCAUGCAUGAGGUUCUAGGUUCAAUUUCCAGCAAAAA